rnacentral:rRNA from 1 species
AGCGAACGCUGGCGGCAGGCCUAACACAUGCAAGUCGAACGAAGUCUUCGGACUUAGUGGCGGACGGGUGAGUAACACGUGGGAACGUGCCUUUAGGUUCGGAAUAACUCAGGGAAGCUUGUGCUAAUACCGAAUGUGCCCUUCGGGGGAAAGAUUUAUCGCCUUUAGAGCGGCCCGCGUCUGAUUAGCUAGUUGGUGAGGUAAAGGCUCACCAAGGCGACGAUCAGUAGCUGGUCUGAGAGGAUGACCAGCCACAUUGGGACUGAGACACGGCCCAAACUCCUACGGGAGGCAGCAGUGGGGAAUCUUGCGCAAUGGGCGACAGCCUGACGCAGCCAUGCCGCGUGAAUGAUGAAGGUCUUAGGAUUGUAAAAUUCUUUCACCGGGGACGAUAAUGACGGUACCCGGAGAAGAAGCCCCGGCUAACUUCGUGCCAGCCGCCGCCGUAACAC